CCCACUUCGUGUCUACCAAAUGACAGCCUGGUGCUCGCUCUUGGUGAUUUGGCCUUGACUUCAGCCAAGCAGCUGAUGCAGACGAAGCCUCCGUUUGCAGGACUGGCAAAGUGCACGCUAAAGAAAGAAGGAAGAAAUUUUUCAAAAAGCAGCUCUGGGGAGGUUUCAUACUCCCCCCCCCCCCCCGCCUUUUUUUAAUUUUUAAGUGAAUAUUUUCCAAAUUUGAUCAGUUCCAGCCCCUCCCUCCACUCCCACCCAACUGCCCUUUUUUCUCUCGUCAAAGCAUAAGCUACAGAGUUACAGUCUCGAGAUUUGGUGUAUCGCUUCCUGCCCCCGCCUCCCCUCCCCGCCCCCGUUCUCCGUCCUCUAUUGAAACACCUCGCCCAGCCUAGCGCACUGAGAGCUCUCAUUUUCCCCCCUUGCUCGGGAUGGUGCCACAGGAGGCUGUGCGGGCCCCGCUCCGCUUCGAAUGGUUGUGUUGAUGUUCCUUUCAGCUGGUCCUAUAGUACCCCUCCUCAGGAAUGUCUCCCCAGUGCAAGGACAAAGACUGAAGAGACUGCUAUAUUGAUGGACUCUCAAGCCAACUAUGAAGUUGAAACAAAGAAAGUGAUCACCUGAAGACACCUCCUCUGCUAAGAAACACCCCCAAAUUGUGCAGCUUCUGCCACUAGAACUCUCAGAACAAGAGACAAUCUUUUCAAGAAACAGAAAAACUCAAUAAUGACAUCUAGAUUUUCAUGAGCCAAGAACUUUCCCUUCCUCAUGUGUAUUCCUCUGUUUGUACUUAAAUUCAUGUGACAUUCAUUUUUUUCCUAGUAUGGAUAUGCUUAUUAAUGCACUUGUUUCAAAAUCCCAAAUUGCACAAAUGUGUUAAUAUUUUAAGAAACAAAAUGAAUCCUACAAGGAGAAUGAUUUUUAGCCACACAUAGGGUUGGAUCUUGAGAGUGACCUACAGAAUAAAAGUACUUUUAAAAUAAAGUAGUCAGAGGCUAUUCAAAGGGUAAAAUAAUCAUAGUACCACAUUGGUCCACUUGACACUAACCAAUCGAUCAUUUUUUUUUAAUCAAGAAAGCUAGAUUCUAUCAGAUAAAAUCACUGCUUCUAAAGAGUUUAAAUCUAGUUAGAAAAAGUUAUAGAAAUGUUUGCAAAGAUAAGUAACAGAUAGAGUCAGUAGAGGAUAAGAUCAAAAACAAAACCAAGCAAAAGAUGAGUUCAGGGGAGUUUGCCAUCAAGUUGGCAAAACUGACUUACUUAGGGAAGAAAGUUAUAAAACAGGAAAAUAUGAGAUGAACCUUGAGUGAUGUGGAAGAUUUAGAUAAAUGGAAAGGAAGGAGAAAAUGGAGUUCUUUAGGUGGUUGUAAUUGGAGGAGGAAAUGAAUACACACAUCUUGUUGACUUAAACCCAGACAUUCAGCAGCUCUCUAUACAUAUCUGGAAAAGACUGCACAGUCACCUCCUGUCUCUCACCCCAGGUAUUACUUAGAAUUAUUAUCAUAUUUCCCUUCCUUUAAAGUAAGUAAGGGUGAUUGGUGACAAUAUGGAGAACUAUGAUUUUUCCAUUAACCUAAUAAUAAUUGGUAUUUAUUGAGUUCUGUUAAGCAUUUUACAUAUUAACUCACUUAAGCCUUUCAACAGCCUUGCAAAAUAGGUAUUAUUAUCCCCAUUUUACAGGCAAGAAAACUGAGGUUUAAGUAACUUGCCGAAGUGCCAUAUACAGGGCUCACAUUCAGUAUUGCAGUUGCAAAGCUCAUGAUCUAUAGUGCCAAGUUGCAAUAUUGUAGUCAAUGUCACAAUUAUUACCCCUUUUUAUAUUCCUUGAUAUUUUUCCAUGGCAAACAAUUAGCUAUUUCAUUUAAUAAUCACCUAAAACUUUUCAGUCUUCUGAUUAAAAUUACGCUGGAGUGAUAGAAUGUAUUUUCAUGAUAGAAAUUGGGAAAAAAAAUGGGGAAUGAAGUUUAUCAGCAUUUCAGACUUGUUUUUUUUUUUUUUUUUUGCAAGACUUUGAUGAGAUUGUUCACUUUUGUCUAUGUAAAAUCCCAAAUCCUUGAGAAUAAAAAAGGGGGAGGUUUAAGUCACUUGUUGCAAUGCCCUUUUUAAUAGAGGCAAUAAAUCUAAAGGCCAUAAAUUUAGAGUGACUUACAGAAGAUCGAACUUUGGAGUGUGGCAGAGUAAGGGAUGGAAACCGGGCCCUCCAGUUCACUAUCAGUAGCUUUUGCACUGGUCUGCCCUUCCUAAAUUAAGUAUGCACUUCAAUUUGAUGAGUGGAAACAGUCUAUCUGGGCAGUAACCAGGGAGCUUUGUGCCUAGUAGAUUGCUUCUGUUCUGCACUUCUUUGGUUUCCCACCUCAAUGUAAAAAAUAGCUAGCAAUGAAGUCCAGAAGUUGUCAAUGGUUCAUCCCCAGAAGAAUGCAUAAUGUCCAAAGUUGUAUGUGUAUGAUGUCUUCAAUGGUAUUAAGUUAUUUCAAAUUCUUAGUUCACCUACAUAAAUCAUUUCUAACAAGCAUCUUCUUAACCAACUUUAUGCACAGUGUAUGUUUGUAAGUGCUUCUGCACGAAUGUUUAUACAUGACUGUUUCCAUAGUACUUAUGUUUUUAAAAAUAUUCAGUCAUUUCCUACUAUAAUCCUCAUGUAUCCAUGUAACUGACUCAAAAAUACUUCAGCCACAGAAAGCUAAAACUGAGCAAAUCUCAUUCUUCUUUUCCAUCCCCUUUGCAUGUGGCUGGCAUUUAGUAAUGAUUAAUAAUAUGGCCAGCUGAAUAACAGAGGUUUGAGACACAAUUCUUUCUCAAAGGAGUCAGCUAAGCUGGGUCUACUUAUGGACAAACAUCUAAAUGUGUGGAAGUAUCUGAUAUUUGACAAUGGUAAAUUUCCACUUAGCUAGCUAGCAUUGUCAGACUUCAAUCUCCUCAUGGCUCUGGCCGUCCUGUUUUAAGCAUGAUAAUUGUUGGCCACAUCUCACAUAGUUCUCAUUGAGUGAGUUCAUAAAUAAACAGGGUUUUUUUUUUUUUUUAAAGAGCAGCCAAGCACAAAGUGUGACUUUGUUGACAUUUUAUGUGACUUUGUCAUAUGUUCCUAACCCCCAAUAAAAGCAAUGUUGCAUCAACUGUGAAAAAAAAAAAAAAA
rnacentral:lncRNA from 1 species